UGUCUUUCUUCUGCGGUCUUUCAGAAAAAAAUAGUCACAUUUUCAAGACCUCUGAAGCCAUACACUGGGUAAUACCUCUGAAGUAGGCGAACCAUGGGUAUAUACAUAAUACAUAUAGGUUAUACCUCAGUGUACGUACGUAAUACGUAUGUAUUUGGACAAAAUGUUGUGAACACAAUUGAAGGCACUGGGUUGCGAGCCUUGCUUUUUUACUUAGAUGGGUAAGAUACUACCUAGUAGGUAUGUACGUUAUUUUUUCGAUUUCCGAAGAAUUUUUCAACAAUAAUGAGGACUAUUUAGUUGGUAAAUCAUGUGUGCAAUAAAAAUUAAAGUACUUCUUGAAAACGUACGAAAUAAAUAAUUGAAUUGAAUUGAAUGGGUAUUAAGUACAUGUAACCUUGUUUCUAAAAAUUAGGUACUUAUUUAACGAACAUGUUCGCAUAAAAUAUACAAUUCUUUAUUCCAGAAAUAAGCAUUACGAUUGGUACGAUGAACCAGAAAUAGUUCGCUAAAAUACGCUAAUAUACGAGUAGAUUGCUGGUUACCUGAACCUUGAAAGUUAAUCAAGUUUUAAUAACGUCGCGUGAAAUUUAUUUGCGCUGUGUGAGUAGUACCAACCUACUCAAGUGGAAUUUAAUCACUUACAGUCAUAGCUUAAAAUAUGUAGUUGAACGGGGAGUUGUUGUAUAAGAUACAGAACACAUUUUGUAUAAUUUUCUUCGAGGUUAUAGCAAAAAAAUUUUCAGAUACCUACCUGUCCUUUUAACGCAAUUCUUUGUAAAGCAUUAGAAGAAUAACUAAGUAUGUGUAAAAUUGAAACAUUCACGAUCAGUUUAUUGGUUGUGUACAUUGCAGUAGUUCCAACAGUGAGUAAAACUUGUAUACCUUACUACAUUAUAUCAUAUUAGUGUUGGCCCGCGCCAGGGGCAAAGCAAACCAAUUUCUUUAUUGUGGGGGGGGGGAGGGAAUAUAUUGAAAUUGCCUAAUGGGGUUUUUAACAAUUUUUAAACACAAUUUACAAAGUUAGAGGAGGAAGCCCAGAAAUGGGAUCAGAAGAAAGCUGAUGAGGAUGCCAUAAGGAGGAAGAGGGGAGCAUCUUGGGAGGAAAUGAAAAAUAAGGAAGCCGAGAUGGAGGCAGUCAAGAAAUGGGAACAGAUGAAAGCGGAUAAGGAAGCAAUAAGGAAGAAAAGGAGAGCAUAUUCGGAGGAAAUCGAGAAGAUGGAAGCCGAUAAGAAGGCGAAGGACGCAGCCGAUAAGGCGGCAAAAUAUUGGGAGGUAAUGCAGAAGGAGAAAGCCGCUCGGGAGGCAGCCGAGAUGCUGGAUAAACAGAGAAGGAGAUAGCCGAAGGAGGAGAACCCUCUGGAUGGUGGAAGAAGAAAACCGAUUGUUUAGAUGCGCGAAACGAAGAACCUAAAUUCAAAGAUUGGCUGUAAGAACUUUAUCAAACGCUGCCUGAAACAUACAGGGAGGAUUUUUUGUGAACUUCUUAGAUCAUAUAUAAUAAAUUCAUAUUUUAUUCAACAUUUUUGUCAGUUGUGUAUUAACAUUCGGGUACCUUGUACAUAGUACGAGUAUUUUAUAUUUCGCCAUCUUGUGCUACCACUCCCUGCAUAAAUGUACAUAUUUUGAAUAUUAAACGCAACAUUUGUAUCAUCUCAAUUUCUAUGUUAAUUCAACUCACUGAAAUAUGAAUCAAAUAAGUUGGUUUGUUCGAAUUUUAAUCAAAUUACACUAUCUACUAUUUAAUGUAAGAUGAAUGUAAAUUAACUGAGUAGACUUCUACUUUUUUGACUAAACACAACCGAAUUUGUAUGUGAUUUUCUUUCAGGGUCUGACAUGUGACCACCUUAAGUUUCUCCCCUAUUGCAAUAUAGACCUACUAACUGCCACUAAGAUAUGAAUUGCAUAACAUUUAGAAAUAUUACUAAUUUACUACAUGUUACUAGGCAUACAAAUAAUGUAACUAGGUACCUUAGCUUUAUCAUGUAUAUCUUGUACCUAGUUAGUUGUUAUAGUUGUAUUGAUAUACUCAAAUGUGAAACAAAGAAUAUCAAAUCUGAA